UACGUAGGAUGCAAGCGUUGUCCGGAAUUAUUGGGCGUAAAGAGCGCGCAGGCGGUAUGACAAGUCAGAUGUGAAAGAGGCCGGCUUAACCGGCAAGGGUCAUUUGAAACUGUCAGACUAGAGUGCAGCAGAGGAUAGUGGAAUUCCCGGUGUAGUGGUAGAAAUGCGUAGAUAUCGGGAGGAACACCAGUGGCGAAGGCGACUAUCUGGGCUGCAACUGACGCUGAGGCGCGAAGGCUAGGGUAGCAAACAGG
rnacentral:rRNA from 1 species